rnacentral:lncRNA from 1 species
GAAGGGCUAACCUCCCCGUACCCACCUCACCUUAUCUGCAUCCCCUCCAUCCAAAUCACACAAACGAAAAUCCAUUUUUCCCCACCCGGCCACCUCUCUCCCCCUGAUUCCUCUGUCUCUCUCGCACCACAGCGUUGUCGCCGCCAACUCCGAUCCCAGGAAGCUCCAGCGGACUCCAACCCACUGCUCACGGUUCUGCCCCACUCCAUCUAUGUUCUCCUCUGUUCCUUCGCCUGAGGCCACCGCGCCCCUGCACGCGUGGCACGCAACAACCCUAGCCGCCACGCGUCGCCGGCGUGGCUCCGGCAGCUCCGGUUUAUCGACCCACUACCCCUGCGGCCCUGCCUCACCUCACGCGCGGCAGCACGCUCGAGCUUGACGUUGGUAUUCCGCCUCUUCUACCUCAACUCCGGUGUUGACGUUUCUGGUUCUGGUGUUUACACGCUCGAGCUUGACGUUGGUAUUCCGCCUCUUCUACCUCAACUCCGGUGUUGACGUUUCUGGUUCUGGUGUUUAUUUGAUUAGAUGUGAUUCACCAUGUGUUGAUCUGUACUAAUUCUGGAUGAGUACUCUGUUAUGCGUUAUGGUUAGAGUUUCCUCCUCCUAUUUAGAUGGAUCGAUGGAUAAUUAAGUAUUUUUUCAAGUGAAAUUAAUCAUUACAUACUAGCAUGUAGCAUGACCUGUUCAAAGAUCAGCGCAGUUUUUUCUUAUAAAAAGAGAUCAACUUAGUUCCAAUUGGAGUGAGAUAGUCGAUCAGCGAUAUAUCAUAUGUGACCAUGUAUGUCACUGAAGAACAUUACUACAAAAAUCAACAUGUCAGUGCAAUUAUGGGUCCAUGAUACUGGCAUGAUUAUUUCAAAUGGAGAAUCCCCAUCUCAAUAGGCUGAAUCGUUGUUUACUUGGUGUCACAUGUACAAUAUACUAAAUAAAUAAGUCCCACUCGCAUCGGUCUGUCCAAUUAUUUGUCUUUAUUCUAUAACCCUUUGCUCCAUCUACACUCACAGGUUCUGACAUUGUCUUUUACUAAGUGUGUGCUUCUGCUGUUUCUUAACAGAUCGAUGUACAACACUUAUGCAUUACAAUCAGGAGAAAUCCAUGCAGAAGAAGCCUGAAGAAUUAUUCAAGUUAUUUGUUUAUAGCAUGGUGAGGAUCCUUUCGCUAGUUCAUGUUACAGUAAGGAAAACAUGAAUUUGUAUCUUAUUCUUUUUUUUGGUUGAUGUAAUAUUUGUUUUCCCCUGGCAAAAAGUUAUAUUAGUUUCAGUUUCUUAUUCAGUUAAAAUGUGCACACUACAAUCUCGAAGUUUAUGCAAAAGCUCAGAUGGAAAUCAUUCUUACACUCAUGUUAUCCAAUAUAAAUUGUUAAAUAAUUGAAAAAAUUUGAAGGUGCGAUACAAGAACAUCAUACCUUGGUAUUCUCGUCACAUGUAUAUGACUCAUAUUGUUGAAAUCUCACCUCUAAAUCGAGUUUAGUGCUCUUUUUUGGAAAUAUAGGUACUUCUGAAUUCCUGCAAUCUCUGUACUAAUUUUGUAUUUCGUGGGGAGCCACAGAUAUUUCCAAAUACUAGAAUGAUGCAUGAUUGGUCAGCACACAAACUCUUGGCCAGGUUCCUCUCACAUCUUAUCUUGUUUGUAAUAUAUUCUUCUUAAACUGUUAACACGAUGAGCAUGUACUUGUUUCAUCCAAGAACGUAAACAUGAAAAGUAUUCCUCUUGUGCACUCUCCUUCCCUGACAUACAGGGCACACUACGGUGGUUGGAUGAUACAACCAUAAACAGACAGCUAAGCGAUCAGAUGCGGCGACUGUGCGAGUGUGUCAGGUAUGUCGAAUUCACUGAUCCCAAACUAUUGGAUCUGACUAGGAUCUCCUCUUCUCUGUAAUACUUAGGACCUUCUCCUCUACCUACUCGGGCCAACAGUUUCAGCAUCCAGCAACCAUGGUGACAAAGAUGAACGUACUGGAACUGCUCUAAGUUUCAACAUUCUCGGUAAACAAGUGAACUAAGAAAGCCAAUCCUACUUAGUAAAUGUUGGCAUAUACUAAUACGCUGGCACUACUUAGUUUGCAUGAAUGUUGUGGUCUUCUAAAUUGCUAGAAUAAUUUCAAGUAGUUUAGUAGGAGUCUCUGCUUGUUUAACUAGCCAAGUUUGAGUCUAAUUUGAUUAGGGUGAUUAGUUAGUUUUCCAACAUGUCUGGUUUGCAUGCCAUAAGCAUUUGUCUUCUUGGGUGGGUCGUAGUCCAUAUAUGAUUCAAUGAGUUUGCAUAGCUAGCUGCCUACAUGCUGUACUAUCAUAUCUUGUAGUUAGCAUGCUUUACUAGUCUAGGAAAGGGCGCUGGAGUCUGAGUCGUUUUAGAUGCUAUAAGUACGAGCAGCUUUAGAUUGUUUCGGCCAUGUAGCUGGUCAUAUCGUGUAACCAGGUCGUGCAAGUUUUUUUUCCAUAUUAGAACAAGGUCAUGUAAGAGUUUUGAUAUAAAAGAAGAAAGAGUACGUUAAAGUUUUUCAUGCACAUGUGUACAGCUAUUUUGAUGUUUGAUUCUGUGGGCAAAACCGAACAUAGAUUACUAAUACAUAUGCCAAAUCACCAGGUUACAGAGGCUCGAUUGUUCCAAGUCGAUGUUGUUGGCGCUAAAACAUAAAAGACUACUAGUGCCAAGCUGGAUUUACUAGGAGGUAUUUUCUGAUGGUAGUUCCAUAUUGCGUGAAUGAUUCUUCACCAGUUUGAAUGGAAAUUUUGGAGUAUUAAUAGCAUACUUGACUAUAUUUUAUUAUCUUGCACAUGUUUCUCUCUUUUUUCACAUAAUUUGUACAAGCGAACACUUUUCUUGCAUGUGAAAAUGGUCGUACUGCUUAUGUGAGAUAAGACUCUUUGCGGCUAGAUUAGGUAAAACAAUUCAUCAACUACUGUAUGCCUGCCUUACAAUCCCCAACCCCUAUAAAACACUUUGUUUCUAGUAACAUGGUGAAACUUAAUAAUGAAAUUAGCUGAGUUAGUUUACUGAGCUAAAAUGACUAUUAUUAGCUACAAAUGUGAUACUGGAUAAAUCCGAACAAGAACCCUGCUUUUACUUCAAUCCAAAGGAUCAACCCCGAAUAUAAAGCUAAAGUUGAUGUUGUUAAACUUGGUAAUGAAUUCAUGGUAUUGUGAGCUGAUGCUAUAUUAGCAGAAUCUUAUUAGUCUCUACAACUACAAAAAAGGUCAAAAUUAUUAGUCACGCAGCAAGAUUAAUUAUCACAUUUCUUCAACUUUCUAUGUUGCUCCUCCUUUCAAUUUUUCUGCCCUAUUAACCUAUUUAAUUUCUUUGUUGUAGAUUGCAAUAUUCGAUGACGCAUGGCUCAGAUGUUGGUUGCAAGGUCAAGAAUAGGGGUGCUACUAGAUAGUUUCACAUUAUGCCUUAGAAUGCCAUUUCCAGUGCCAAUGUUUCAAUCAUUAUGUUUCGGAUAUUUUUGGUGUCAAUAUUUCGAUCAUUAUGUUUCAGAAUGGCUGACACGUUGGCUGCAAGGUCAAGAAUGAGAUUACUACUAGUUUCACAUCUUGUAAUUUUUGUAUGGUGUACUUUGUAAUGCAACCAAGUUGAUUUAAUAUAUGAGAAAUUUCCGUUUAUUAUACUGUGUCCCUUGUGUAAUACCGAUAUUGUCUAAUUCUAGACGCUGAUGUAUAAAUAUCAUGUAUUUUUUAUGGAAUGCACUAGUAUUGUAGUACUCAUUUAUAAUCAUGUUCUGUUGGGUAGCCACCAACGCAUGUGAACCGUUGUUGGGCUCUAACUCUAUACGUUGCUAUCUUACAACACUUAUUCAGGCCGUUUACCAACGGAUGC